rnacentral:rRNA from 1 species
CCCUUAGACACUCUAGGCGGCACGCGCGCUACAAUGGGUGGAAGACCGUGUUACUGCCUUCGAAAGAAGGGGUGAAUCACGAAUUCUUACCCGUGAAUGGGAUAGUUUGUUGCAAUUUUCGGACUUGAACUAGGAAUCCCUUGUAAGCAUGCUCAAGAAUAGCGUGUUGAAUACGUCCCUGCCGUUUGUACACACCGCCCGUCGUUUCUUCCGACUGAUACUCAUUGUGAGUUGCAAGGACCCUUUAUUGGGAAAGUGCUGCGAAUGCUUUGUAUUGGAGGAAGAAAAAGUCGUAACA